GAAAAGAUGGGAUUGAACGAUUUUAACAUGCACAUGUAGAUGUUAAUCAUCCAAACACUGCCUUAUAAAGUCAUUUCCCGUCUAACCCCAAUACGGGAAGCUGACGUCAUUGCCGGUCUCAAUGCACGGCCAUCUCUACCCUUACCCCUUUCCACCUCUCCCACGAAUCCGAUUCUUUUCUCUAUUAUCCUUCACCCCCUUUCCCUCCGGCGUACUUUAGCACCAUCCGCCAUCCACUCUCCCACCUCCCACACUCCUUUACCCCUCUUUCCCAUGGACCCCAUUCGGUCAGUCCAUCACUCCACCCGCCCCUCCGCAUCUGGCGGAGGCGGCGGCCGUGAGGACUGUUGGAGCGAAGGCGCAACUGAAACGCUGAUAGAGGCGUGGGGGGACCGUUACAUUAAUCUCAACCGCGGAAAUCUCCGUCAGAAGGACUGGAAGGAAGUAGCCGACACUGUCAACGGCCGUCAAAACGGAGUCAAGCCACGGAAAACGGACGUCCAGUGCAAGAACCGAAUCGAUACGUUGAAGAAGAAGUACAAGCUCGAGAAAGCUAAACCACCUCCAUCCAAAUGGCCGUUCUAUUAUCGGCUCGAUUCCCUCAUCGGGGCUAACGCUACCGUUAACCCAAAAAAGAAGGCCGCCGCCGCCACCUUCCCUGUGAAAUCCACGCCAAGCAUAAAGCCGGAGCUUUAUACAGGAGUCUCAAAUUCCACGGAGGCAUCUUUCGACGACGAGAAAGACGAGGACGACGAUGAUAUAGGGUUUGAUGAAAGAGCCAUAAAGAAGCAGCACAGGAUCGAGGACGUUGAUUUCUCUGAUGGAGCUGCGUGUAGAGAGUUAGCAAGAGCUAUAUUGAAGUUUGGGGAGAUAUAUGAGAGAAUCGAGAGCUCUAAGCAGCAGCAAAUGGUGGAGCUAGAGAAGCAGAGAAUGGAGUUCACUAAGGAACUAGAGUUCGAGAGGAUGAACAUGUUCAUGGAUGCCCAAUUGGAGCUCGAAAAGAAGUCUUCAAAGCGUUCGAAAUACGCCUCAUCUGGUUCAGAUGUGAAGCAAUCGAGGGAAUAGAGAAUGUUUGAAAUACUUUCCAUUCUGCUUGGCGUCAUAUCUCUGUCUCUUUCUUCAAGAUGCACAUGCAUGCACUAACCGACAUUCAGAGACAUGCAUGUGAUUGCGGGUCGCAGAAAGACAUUAUAGGUGAAGUAACAUGGGCACUUCAAUACUGAAAGCAGUGCUACUACAAUGUGGAUAUGCAAAUCAAAGCCCUCUGGAUCGCUAGCUGAAAACUGGGAGUUUUCAUUCCUAUCAUCCGGAGUCUAUAAAUCAUCAAAGAUUCAGAUUUGAAGCUUUUGUAAAUGAUUAGCAAGUAGUGUAACUAUUGUUGUAACAUUAUUCCGUCCCAAGUGAUUAAGUUGUUCUGCUACAGAUUCUGUACUUGCUGAUGUUCUAAACUAUAACCUAUGUCACCAUCUUACCUUCUUAGGCAUCUUCUGUAAGUGAUGAAUAUGUUGUAAAAUUGUGUUCUCAAUAAAGUAUUGAUGUUUGUUGAA